rnacentral:rRNA from 1 species
UACGUAGGGUGCGAGCGUUGUCCGGAAUUACUGGGCGUAAAGCGUGCGCAGGCGGUUUUGUAAGCCAGAUGUGAAAUCCCCGGGCUUAACCUGGGAAUGGCAUUUGGGACUGCAAGGCUGGAGUGCGGCAGAGGAGACUGGAAUUCCUGGUGUAGCAGUGAAAUGCGCAGAUAUCAGGAGGAACACCGAUGGCGAAGGCAGGUCUCUGGGCAUUAACUGACGCUGAGGAGCGAAAGCAUGGGGAGCGAACAGG